CAGUUACACUCUCCUUCUGAAACUAGCCAAGGGAUGGGAUUGUCUUAUGCCUGGACUGUGAUUUCCUUCCCUCUUCUCUCCUCCCCCUCUUUCCCUGCUGAUCCCAGCUAGAGCUCGAGAACAAGGCAGCAGCUGAGCGAGAUGGAUCAGGCCAGGCCCUCCGUCAAUCACUAAGCAUCAGUGUCCCUUGGACACCGAGGAGAACUGCAGAAGGAGGAAGAGGAAUGCCCUAUCUUUGCCCCCGGGGAAGCUCCUUGACCACACAUCCAAUCCUCAGAUAGAGACAGAGAAGUGCCCUUUACAGAUGUCUGUAUAGCUCGGCACUAUCUGGGCCCUGGGAGGACAGUGUGAGCCCCACCCAGGUAUACCUAAAAUGUGUGGUCCUAGGACUGGAAUGCCCCCAGCUGGAGUGCCCUGAUUUGAUGAUAACUAUAAGAGGGAGCAUCCCAAAUGUUCCUAUGGACCAUCUGUGCCAGACCCGUGGUAGAGCCUUCAUGGUUGGACACACCGUACCUUAACCCCAACGUAAUGAUGGAAUCUUGAUCCUCUUCAAGCAGGAAGGACAACAACCAACCAGCCAAGGAGGGAACAUACUGUAAUAGGUAGAGAACUGGUCUCAAAACCAGGGAUAUCAGGGUUUGAGAACUGCCUUUAACAUUGGCUGUGAUCCUAGGCAAGUUACUUAACCUUGAAGUACUCUAGUUAUUGUUCAGUCAUUUCCAAUCACAUCCAUCCCAUUUGGGGUUUUCUUGGCAAAUAUACCAGAGUAGUUUGCCAUUUCCUUCUCCUGCUUAUUUUACAGAUGAGGAAACUAGGCAGACAAGGGGAAGUCACUUGUCCAGGGUCACUCAACUAGUAAGUGUCUGAGGCUGGAUUUGAACUCAGGUCUUCCUGACUCCAGGCCUAGUGCUCUAUCCACUGUACAACCUAACUGCCCUGAGGUACCCUAGGCCAGCACUUCUUAAACUUUUUCCACUGAAGACCCUUUUUCGGGGUUCCAAAGUAUUGCAUGGCUUGAGGGCUAGUGCAGUGCAAAGUGCACAUGCUUUGUGUUCAG
rnacentral:lncRNA from 1 species